ACACACACACACACACACACACAGCACCCAAUCUACAUAAUGAUUCAGCAAGAGCUAGGGAUGGACACCUUACUUCAUUUCUGGUCCUUGGUAGUUUUGCAAGUAUCCAUUCAUACCUUUUCCAAGUAUAUUCUGCCUUACUCUACUAAAAACAAAAGAAUCUGUUCAAAGAUUAAUUUUUAAACAUGUAUUUAAAUAUUUUAAUACUAUUUUACCACAAAUUACACAUUUCAAAACAUACAUUAUCCUAGGGCCGGCACUUCUAUAUGCAUUUUGGUACAUUGUGGUGUUUGUUUGUUUUUUGUGUGUUUUUGAGCAAAGAAUUGCACUGCAAAAUUUAUAGUAUUGAAAAAUCUGAAUUACAACUUCAUGCUGAUCCACACAUUAGUGAGGGAGGUAUGGAUCUGAUCAGUUCAUAUCAGAAUUUGC